rnacentral:lncRNA from 1 species
AUCUUUAACAGCGGGCGUGGCGUCCUCGUGCCAAUGUUGCAGCUUCCGCAGAUGCGGAAGUGAAUUACGUAGCUGCGAAUUCCUGACAAACUUCACGGCGAGCAGAAGUUAUAAGAUUUGUGUAUGAAACCUGACUUCUUUUGAUGAGCUCAUAAAAGUAACCAUGUGGCCAAAUCAAGGACCUCCUCCUCCUCCUGUGGGCCCCCUUAACCCUGCCUACCCUCCUGGUUACAACCCUGGAUAUCCCACUGCCCCUCCAGCAGGAGGCUUCCCCCCACCUCCUCAUCCAGCAUACACACCUGGCCAGUACCCAGUUGGUGUGAACCCACCUAUGGGACCUCCUGUGCCUCCAGGAGCAAUGCCUUAUGGAGCUCCUGGACCUCAGCCCUACCCUAUGGCUCCAGGUGGAUAUCCAGUGCCUCCUGCAGGUUUCCCUCCAGGUCCAUACCCACACUCGCCAAAAGGAGGUCACCAUAAAGGCCACCACAAAGGUCACCAUCAUCAUGGGGGGUUAAAUCCCAUGGCUGGAGCAUUAGCUGGAGGAGCAGCAGCAAUGGGGAUGGGCUUAGUUGGACACAAGGCUCAUAAAAAGAUGAAGAAGAACAAGAAGAUGAAGAAAGCACACAAACAUGGGUACCACAAACAUGGCAAGUCCUCCAGCAGUAGCAGCAGCAGCAGCAGCGACUCAGACUGAGACCCUUUCACUACCACAAGCUUUCACAGAUACGCUGCUUUAUGAAGAGAUUCUUGUUCAGAAUUUGUGCAGUUACCGUAUUAAUCAUAUCUUACAUGACACUAGAAAUGUAUGCACAGGCUGUUGCUGUGAACAUCUUCAUAUCAAUCUGCAUUUCACCAUGUCUUUAAUGUGUUAAGAUUAAGAUUUACUUUAUUAAUCCCUCUAUGGAAAUUCUGUUUGUUUUUGUUCUUUUGGUUUAUAGUGUUAUGCAGUUAGGGACUCUUUUUGUUAUUUUUUUUACUAUAUUUAAUAGUAAAAGUAUAAAACAACCAUAUACUGGUCUGCAGACAUGAGAGAGGGUUGAGAAAGGUUUUAUUCUUUGAUUAACUUUGAGGUGGAAAGUAAGGUAACACUGAGUGUUCAUACAUAACGUUUUAUUUUCACUACUGUACAAGGCUGUGUUGCAUUGCAUCACAAAUAUAAUGUAAUUCCUAAAAUAAUAAACUUAAACUAAUAUGUUCA